AGACAGGUGCUGCAUGGCUGUCGUCAGCUCGUGCCGUGAGGUGUGGGUUAAGUCCCGCAACGAGCGCAACCCUAUUGCCAGUUGCUACCAGGUAAUGCUGGGCACUCUGGUGAGACUGCCCCGGUUAACGGGGAGGAAGGUGGGACGACGUCAAGUCAUCAUGGCCCUUACGCCUAGGGCUACACACGUACUACAAUGGCGCAUACAAAGGGCAGCGAUACCGCGAGGUGGAGCCAAUCCCAAAAAGUGCGUCCCAGUCCGGAUUGCAGUCUGCAACUCGACUGCAUGAAGUUGGAAUCGCUAGUAAUUCGAGAUCAGCAUGCUCGGGUGAAUGCGUUCCCGGGCCUU
rnacentral:rRNA from 1 species